GCCUCGGUGGUGUAGUGGUAGCACACAUCAUUGGUAUGGGUGAAAUACAGGUUCGAUUCCCGUUUGAGGUC